AACGAACGCUGGCGGCAGGCCUAACACAUGCAAGUCGAGCGGGCGCAGCAAUGCGUCAGCGGCGCACGGGUGAGUAACGCGUGGGAACCUGCCCUUUGGUUCGGAACAACCCUGGGAACUAGGGCUGAUACCGGAUGAGCCCUGAUCGCGAGAUUGGGGGAAAGAUUUAUCGCCGAAGGAGGGGCCCGCGUCCGAUUAGCUAGUUGGUGGGGUAACGGCCUACCAAGGCUGCGAUCGGUAGCCGGUCUGAGAGGACGAUCGGCCACACUGGGACUGAGACACGGCCCAGACUCCUACGGGAGGCAGCAGUGGGGAAUAUUGGACAAUGGGCGCAAGCCUGAUCCAGCCAUGCCGCGUGGGUGAUGAAGGCCUCGGGUUGUAAAAGCCCUUUUGGCGGGGUACGAUGAUGACGGUACCCGCAGAAUAAGCCCCGGCUAACUUCGUGCCAGCAGCCGCGGUAAGACGAAGGGGGUCAAGCGUUGUUCGGAAUUACGUGGGCGUAAAGGGUCGCGUAGGCGGCCUGUUUAGUC
rnacentral:rRNA from 1 species